UAAUAAGUGUUUUAUGGCACUUUUUAAAUCCAUAUCCACCUUGUGUGCAAUGUCAGUCGAUCUUCUUCAUGGAGAUCGACCAAACAUCAACCUUUAUUUUUUAACUCUUGUCUGAAAAAUAUUAUGAAUAAACAAUUCAAAAUA
rnacentral:misc_RNA from 1 species